CAUGCCAGUGUGAACCCCCUUCAGUUUGCUGAGGAAGAGGAUUGGGGCAGAUAUUGCAGUUUUCCCUUCUCUUCUGCAGCCCCUCUGGGAGGGAGGACCUAGAGGAGGGGCCGAAUAAUGCAGUGGAAUUGACAUAGAUACAUUUAUACAUAUUUUUAAAGGAAGAUCUUUUGGUGAAAAAAAGAAAGAUGGCGCUUGGUAAAAGCAGGUUUAUUCGGUGGCGUCGCUGCUGCUUCGUCUCGACUGGUUCUCUCGUGUGUGGACCUUUGAAGUGGAACUACGGUGGAAAACCGGGAAAACGUCUUCUCUUCGACGAACGUCUGGAUGGUUUGGAGCUUUUCUACUGUCCUGCUCUUUCAGUUCUGGGUCACCGUCGGCCUUCCUCCAUCUUGCUGCUGUUUUGCUUUAGCUGGGUGUGUCUCGUGAUUAAAGACAUACUUUUCAAGAAGAAAACCUUUGCUGUUCCCGCUGAACCGGACUAGAACGUCAACUCAACUGUUCUUUGGUUAAAUGAUGAGAAGACGAACAAGACCCAGGAGCUGCUGCCAUGACUCCUCUAAACGGUGGACAGCCGACAGAUGUGACGACAGUGAAUGAAAUCCCAAAUGGAUGUGGUCGAUGAGACGUGCAGCACAAAGCAGACACACUGCAGCCAUUAACACAACUUUUGGUUUUUUUUGUACAUAGGUUCAGUGCUGUUGAAUGAUCCUUUCUUUACUUUUCUUACAUUCUUUACAUUCCUUUUCUUUAAAAGAAAUUGAAGAAAACCAUUUUUACUGUAAACCGCUGCUUCAGCCUGACAAAGCUCUCCCUCUGCGAGGCUGCAGACCCCCCCCCCCCUUUUACACAUUUAUACAUAACAAAUAGAAAACAUAUGUUUAAUCUUAAUUUUUUUGCCUUUUGACAACUUGAGGUCAUUUAAAUAGGUUGGUCACUAUUUACGAAUUGUUACUCUUGACAUCCCAUUUUGUCAGUCCUAAAAGUCCUAAAAACCUUUUCUUCCGUUACAUAAAUAUUAACAGUUUUCUCCAUUUGCUUUCACUGCUGACUGUGCUCAACCUCAACUGAAAGCUUCCAUCUAAAAUUCCAGAUUGAUGAGUCAUGUUUUGCAGAUUCCCUUGCUGCCAGUUCAUGUGUGGUGUACUCAGUUAUCCACCUCUAUUUAAAACUCUUCAGGGACUUUCCAUCAAAUUGACCUCUUUAGAGCAGAACAGCGUAAAACAUGACUAGAAAGUGUUGACACAUCUAUAUUAUGGGAUCAAAUCAGAUUACAAACACUUUUCCCUUUUAUUAGGGCUGAUCUGUUCCCCUCCUGUUUAUAGACUUCAAUAAUUAUGAUCCUAAUGUGUCCAUUAUCACUUUUUUUUUUCACAUUUGCACUUUUUGCAUGAAAUCUUGUGUUUUUUUGUGUAAAUUUUCAGUUUCCUCUAUACUUUUUGGCAUUCGGAGCAGAAAGCAAAGAAAGAAUUUCAUUGUGCAGGGAAACCCGUUUCUUACUGUGCAUAUGAUAAUAAACCCUUUGAACCUUGAA